UGGAAGAAGUCGUCGAAGGUGGAAUCAAUAACUGGGGUGAAGUCGUAACAAGGUAGCCGUAUCGGAAGGUGCGGCUGGAUCACCUCCUUUCUAAGGAGA
rnacentral:rRNA from 3 species